rnacentral:lncRNA from 1 species
UGGAGUCUGAUGACCAAGGGCAGGAAGCAUCCAGCACGGGACAAAGAAGAAAGCCAGAAGACUCAGCAAGCCAGCUCAUCUCACUUUCUUCUGCCUACUUUGUUGUAGCUGAGCUGGCAGCCAGUUGGAUGGUGCACACUCACAUUGAGGAUUGGGAGGCUGCUGUGUAUGGAUAAGAUACCUGCUACAGCCAGCUUGACACCAUGAGAAGGACAAGAGAAUUGCAGAGACACAUAUCCAGGAUUCUGAUCCAGUUGAGGCACUGAAAUAAUCUAGAACCACCUUCAAAUUUCUUAUAAAGAGAGCUAUGCUAUUAGGAUUUAAUUAAAUGGAUGCCAACAGCAAGUAAACCAUCUCCAAAGAUGCCAUGAAGCUCUCCUAAUUGCAGGAAAAUAUCAGAGGCACUUGAUUUGAGUCUUUCAAGUACGGAAAUAACAAAUUCAGUCUCAACAGACCUAUAGUGAAUGAGAAUGAUUGUCACAUAAUGUGUAGAGAAAAUGGAAGAAUCAAAGGCAAGGGAAACCUGUACAGUGGAGACACAAAGGGUCACUGGCAGAUUUCAAAUGAUCCAAGACAUCCUCAAGGAAGAUUUACCACAAGUUACUUUAUCAUAGCUUUGAGUGGCAUUUUAAUAUCAUAUUUUAAAAGAAAGAAAACAAUAGAAAUGUAUUAAAAUAUCUUCUCAAGAAUCCUUCCAAACCACAAGGAAAAUCACCAGGCCAAAAGUGAGGUUUGAAGUCUGGACAUGUACUGGUUUUCUCUAGCAAUCGACUCUCAAUUUUUGGACAUUGAGAUCUGCUGGUUGGAGAUCUUAGUGCCCAAGGAAGAAUGCUUGCAAAAGGAGAUGGAACAGUGUUUCUGUUGCAUUGGCCACUGAGAAUAUCUGGUUAUUUUGAAUUUGUCACAGUCUGCAGCUAAAAGGCGAACAGGAAAAGAAGAGGAAUUCACUGAAUGUCUAUCUAUCAUGUAUGCUGUUGGAGGCACCUGUCUUUCAGUUCAGAGGUUAUGGAUGUAUCUAUCAUCAGUAUUUCGGGAAGUCAGGGACCCGGAACAGAGGGACUUAAUGAAGCUGUGGCAGAAGAAAAAAUUAUGAAGAUUUCAUGGACAUUUAUUAGUUCCCCAAAUUAAUACUUUUAUAAUUUCUUACA